AUGUUGGGUUAAGUCCCCGCAACGAGCGCAACCCCUAUUUUUAGUUGCCACCAUUUAGUUGGGCACUUUAAAAGAACUGCCAGUGAUAAGCUGGAGGAAGGUGGGGAUGACGUCAAGUCCUCAUGGCCCUUAUGUGUUGGGCUACACACGUGCUACAAUGGUACUUACAAUGAGAAGCAAAGAUGCAAGUCCUAGCCAAUCUCUAAAAUGUACCUCAGUUCGGAUUGUACUCUGUAACUCGAGUGCAUGAAGCUGGAAUUGCUAGUAAUCGCGGAUCAGCGCGCCGCGGUGAAUACGUUCCCGGGUCUUGUACACACCGCCCGUCACACCAUGGAAGUUGGUUACACCUUAAGGCAAAGCUUAUACCUUUGACUACGGUACGAUCAGCAACUGGGGUGAAGUCGUAACAAGGUAACC
rnacentral:rRNA from 1 species